GAUGAAGAACGCAGCUAAAUGCGAUAAGUAAUGUGAAUUGCAGAAUUCAGUGAAUCAUCGAAUCUUUGAACGCACAUUGCGCCCGCCAGUAUUCUGGCGGGCAUGCCUGUUCGAGCGUCAUUACAACCCUCAGGCCCCCGGGCCUGGCGUUGGGGAUCGGCGGAAGCCCCCUGCGGGCACAACGCCGUCCCCCAAAUACAGUGGCGGUCCCGCCGCAGCUUCCAUUGCGUAGUAGCUAACACCUCGCAACUGGAGAGCGGCGCGGCCACGCCGUAAAACACCCAACUUCUGAAUGUUGACCUCGAAUCAGGUAGGGAUACCCGCUGAACUUAAGCAUAUCAAUAAGCGGAGGA
rnacentral:misc_RNA from 1 species